CCCUUAGAUGUUCUGGGCCGCACGCGCGCUACACUGAUGAAUUCAACGAGCUCCUAACCUAGGCCGAAGGGUCCGGGUAAUCUUUGAAAUUUCAUCGUGAUGGGGAUAGAUUAUUGCAAUUAUUAAUCUUCAACGAGGAAUUCCUAGUAAGCGCGAGUCAUCAGCUCGCGUUGAUUACGUCCCUGCCCUUUGUACACACCGCCCGUCGCACCUACCGAUUGAAUGGUCCGGUGAAGCCUCCGGAUUGGCGCGCACCUCGGUGCCGCCGAGAAGUUGGCUAAACCUUACCAUUUAGAGGAAGGUGAAGUCGUAACA
rnacentral:rRNA from 1 species